GGCUGGUCCAAAGCUAGUAAUUUAUCUCAAUUGAUUGUUCACAGUCAGUUACAGAUCAAACUCCUUGUUCUACUCUUUCCCACCUUCUCACUACACUAGACUAAAAA
ensembl:misc_RNA Y_RNA Y RNA